AUGCGUGCGUACCUCGACCUGCUUCUGCAGGGACUGGACGUAGUUAAUGAUCUCGUCGAGCAUGCCGGCCUUGCCAGUGACCUUGUCGCACCCGGGCACCAGCUCCUGCAGGUACCUCAUCCGCUCGCUGAUCCGCUCCCGCCUCACCUGCAUCAUAUGCGCAACAAGAUCAAAUUGGGUCAUACAUGUCGUUACACAAGGUUUAAUUGCUGUUUGUACUACUAUCGAUCUAUAAUCUAUAUACCCGUUCGGCGAGGCUGUGGCUGUCCGUGGCCUGCCCGCGCCGGGCUCGGACGUGGAUGUAGUCGGUCUUCUGGCCGGUGGCCGCCGCCUCCGGCUUCUUCCUGGCGCACGCCUUGGGUUUCUCCGGCCUGCCUUUCGCCGCUCCUUCAGCCUCGCCAGGGUCGCACAGCUGCUGCUUCCCUCUCGGCCUCUUGCAGUCGUCCUGGCAAAGGUUUUUUGUUAGUCAAAGAAGAGCACACCAAUAAGCAGAGCGCAGCUCGAGGCUCACGCAGAGACAGAGGCUCGCAGCGCAUGCACAAAAACAUCGUCCGACUCACCUUUGCGUCCACAUACGCGUCAGGUUUUCUCUUCGUGGACCCGUCGCCGCUGCUGGCGCUACCGCUGCAGGAGAAGGAGUUGCCGGCGCCGUUGCUGCUGCCCGGUGGUGGUGGCGCGCCGAAGGCCGCGUAG
rnacentral:rRNA from 1 species